rnacentral:lncRNA from 1 species
UUGAAAGAUGUAUUUUCUGCGCAAAUUUUAUUAGAUUCCUUUAAUGAUUUUGAGAAGUGUUCAGGGUUAAAAGUCAAUUUUUCGAAAACCGAAGCAACAUGGAUUGGAAGAAAUAAAUUUAACAAAGAAGGUUCCCUUCCUAUUAAAUGGACAGAUGGUUUUAAAACCUUAGGUUUAAAAUUUAACGCUUUUGAUGAAAUGGUUUGUUCUAACUUAG